rnacentral:rRNA from 1 species
AUUGAACGCUGGCGGCAGGCCUAACACAUGCAAGUCGAGCGGUAGAGAGGUGCUUGCACCUCUUGAGAGCGGCGGACGGGUGAGUAAUGCCUAGGAAUCUGCCUGGUAGUGGGGGAUAACGUUCGGAAACGGACGCUAAUACCGCAUACGUCCUACGGGAGAAAGCAGGGGACCUUCGGGCCUUGCGCUAUCAGAUGAGCCUAGGUCGGAUUAGCUAGUUGGUGAGGUAAUGGCUCACCAAGGCGACGAUCCGUAACUGGUCUGAGAGGAUGAUCAGUCACACUGGAACUGAGACACGGUCCAGACUCCUACGGGAGGCAGCAGUGGGGAAUAUUGGACAAUGGGCGAAAGCCUGAUCCAGCCAUGCCGCGUGUGUGAAGAAGGUCUUCGGAUUGUAAAGCACUUUAAGUUGGGAGGAAGGGUACUUACCUAAUACGUGAGUAUUUUGACGUUACCGACAGAAUAAGCACCGGCUAACUCUGUGCCAGCCGCCGCGAAAAAAC